UGGGGAAUUUUGGACAAUGGGCGAAAGCCUGAUCCAGCCAUGCCGCGUGAGUGAAGAAGGCCUUCGGGUUGUAAAGCUCUUUUAGUCGGAAAGAAAGAGUUGCAAUGAAUAAUUGUGAUUUAUGACGGUACCGACAGAAAAAGCACCGGCUAACUACGUGCCAGCAGCCGCGGUAAUACGUAGGGUGCGAGCGUUGAUCGGAAUUACUGGGCGUAAAGGGUGCGCAGGCGGUCUUGCAAGUCAGAUGUGAAAGCCCCGGGCUUAACCUGGGAAUUGCGGUUGAAACUACAAGGCUAGAGUGCAGCAGAGGGGAGUGGAAUUCCAUGUGUAGCAGUGAAAUGCGUAGAGAUGUGGAAGCACACCGAUGGCGAAGGCAGCUCCCUGGGUUGACACUGACGCUCAUGCACGAAAGCGUGGGGAGCAAACA
rnacentral:rRNA from 1 species